AGUACUUGCCUGAGACUCUACGUCUUACUUUUGCGGAAGGUGUUCAAAUGCUAAAGGAGGCUGGUGUCGAAGUUGAUCCUACGGGGGACCUAAAUACUGAAGCAGAGAGGAAGUUGGGCCAAUUAGUUUU